rnacentral:rRNA from 1 species
AGAGUUUGAUCCUGGCUCAGGAUGAACGCUGGCGGCGUGCUUAACACAUGCAAGUCGAACGAGGUCCAUGGAGCUUGCUCCGGAAGACCUAGUGGCGAACGGGUGCGUAACACGUGAGAAACCUGCCCCGAUCUCUGGGAUAACAGUUGGAAACGACUGCUAAUACCGGAUGCCGUCACACCGCUUCAUGGCGGAGUGCCGAAAGAUUUAUCGGAUCGGGAGGGUCUCGCGGCCUAUCAGCUAGUUGGAGAGGUAACGGCUCACCAAGGCAUCGACGGGUAGCUGGUCUGAGAGGAUGAUCAGCCACACUGGGACUGAGACACGGCCCAGACUCCUACGGGAGGCAGCAGUGGGGAAUCUUGCACAAUGGGCGAAAGCCUGAUGCAGCAACGCCGCGUGCGGGAAGAAGGCCCUAGGGUUGUAAACCGCUUUCAGUAGGGAAGAAAAUGACGGUACCUACAGAAGAAGGUGCGGCCAACUACGUGCCAGCAGCCGCGGUGACACGUAGGCACCAAGCGUUAUCCGGAUUUAUUGGGCGUAAAGAGCUCGUAGGCGGUUUGGUAAGUCGGGUGUGAAAACUCUGGGCUCAACCCAGAGAGGCCACCCGAUACUGCUAUGACUAGAGUACGGUAGGGGAGCGGGGAAUUCAUGGUGUAGCGGUGAAAUGCGCAGAUAUCAUGAGGAACACCAGCGGCGAAGGCGCCGCUCUGGGCCGUAACUGACGCUGAGGAGCGAAAGCAUGGGUAGCAAACAGGAUUAGAUACCCUGGUAGUCCAUGCCGUAAACGUUGGGCACUAGGUGUGGGUCUCAACCAACGAGAUCCGCGCCGUCGCUAACGCAUUAAGUGCCCCGCCUGGGGAGUACGGUCGCAAGACUAAAACUUAAAGGAAUUGACGG